GCGCCGCUCAGACCGGGAGGCCGGGAACUCGGGCGCAGUUCAGGUCAGGUACUCGGGCGCAGUUCAGGUUGGGCGCUUGGGCGGCGCUC
rnacentral:tRNA from 1 species